rnacentral:rRNA from 1 species
AUUGGAGGGCAAGUCUGGUGCCAGCAGCCGCGGUAAUUCCAGCUCCAAUAGCGUAUAUUAAAAUUGUUGCAGUUAAAAAGCUCGUAGUUGAAUUUCUGCUGCAUUACAUAUCUCUUGUUUGAGUUUGUUUUUGUGGCUUAUUUCGGUCUGAUUUUUUUAUCUUUCCGGAUGAUUACUUUGAGAAAAUUAGAGUGCUCAAAGCAGGCUUUUGCCUUGAAUAGUUUAGCAUGGAAUAAUAAAGUAGGACUUUGGUUCUAUUUUGUUGGUUUUAGGUACCAAAGUAAUGGUUAAUAGGAACAGUUGGGGGCAUUCGUAUUUAACUGUCAGAGGUGAAAUUCUUAGAUUUGUUAAAGACGAACUACUGCGAAAGCAUUUGCCAAGGAUGUUUUCAUUAAUCAAGAACGAAAGUUAGGGGAUCGAAGACGAUCGGAUACCGUCGUAGUCCUAACCAUAAACUAUGCCGACUAGAGAUUGGAGGUCGUCAGUUUUUACGACUCCUUCAGCACCUUG